ACGGAAGGCAGCAGUGGGGGAUAUUGCACAAUGGGGGAAACCCUGAUGCAGCAACGCCGCGUGAGGGAAGAAGGUUUUCGGAUUGUAAACCUCUGUCCUAGGUGAAGAAAAUGACGGUAGCCUAGGAGGAAGCUCCGGCUAACUACGUGCCAGCAGCCGCGGUAAUACGUAGGGAGCGAGCGUUGUCCGGAUUUACUGGGUGUAAAGGGUGCGUAGGCGGAAAGACAAGUCAGUAGUGAAAUCUAUGGGCUUAACCCAUAGCGUGCUAUUGAAACUGUUUUCCUUGAGUGAGUCAGAGGCAGGCGGAAUUCCCGGUGUAGCGGUGAAAUGCAUAGAGAUCGGGAGGAACACCAGUGGCGAAGGCGGCCUGCUGGGGCUUAACUGACGCUGAGGCACGAAAGCGUGGGGAGCAAACAGGAUUAGAUACCCUGGUA
rnacentral:rRNA from 1 species